rnacentral:lncRNA from 1 species
AGAAGAUGGUGAAUAUGGUAUCUGAGAAAGCAAGGUUGAAGAUGGAUUCGAAGGAAUGGCAAGAAUGGCUACAGGUAGAAGUUGUGAUGUUACAGACUGUAGAAUAGAUAUUAAUUCAUUUUUGAAAGAUAUUAGUAAAAUAUAUUAAUAGUCCAUAUAAUAGGAAAUUCAGGAGGAUAGAUGAGUGACUUAGUUAUUAAAAGUGAUUAAUUAUAGAAUUACGAUUAAAAUCUGGAGAAUCAAGGGAAAAUAUAUAAGAGUUGUAGAAGUUAAUUAGGGUGCCAUCGCCAUAAUAGUGUGAGCUGGAGUAAGCUUGGUGCUACCUCUUUUCUUUUGUUUGUUAUUUUCUUUGAAUAAGAGGAUUGAGAGUUUCUGAAUAUUGUGAAGUGAAUUAUGGAAUGGAAAUGUGAUUGGUAUUAUUUGAGAAGAAGAAAGAUUGAAUGUUGAAAUCUGAUUGUAGUUCAG